AGUACGCGGAAGAUUAUGUAGCAUUAGUGAUAAAUGUUGAUUGUUUAAUUUUGUGCAGGGGGUUAAGCCAUGACCAUUUAAUGCAGAUAUGUGAAUAUCUUUCUGAUUAAUUACAGUAAGGGAUUUCAUUGGGAAUGCACUAAGGGGGCUUAUGGAUCUUCCCCUCCCCUAAUGUUUUGGUUCUCAGCUUCCAAAACUAUUAAUGCCAAACUUUACUCUGUGGGAAAUAGCUGAUUUGCUUGCAGUUCACCGGCUACUCUCUCUCUCUCGAAUGGACAAUCCUUGCAUAACUUCAUGGAUAUUGAAAACAGUAAAUUGAAUAUUGCACCUUUCUGAUCUAGAAAAUCAUUAGCUCUUGAGUUUUUCAUUCUAAUACUUCUCCCAUUGGCAUCAUGCCUGACAGCUUGUGAUUCAAAGAAGCAGAAGAAAGUUCCUUUCAUGGGAGAUUGUCCUUAAAAAAUCAAAUGCAAUGACAUUAUAAUGGUGCUUGACAUGUACAAAGUUCAAGGAGUUAUGCAGGGGAAGGAACAUAUUAAAGGGAAAUUACGACGCAGAUGUUUAGAAGCUGCCAUGAAAACUAGGAGCAGUUCAAAUUUUACUUUUUCCCCUUUUCUCUUAACUGUUGUGGAUGCUUACAUGAGCUAUGGAAUGGUCACUGCUGAAAACUCAAUGGAAACUUUUGGUGGAGAUAAUCUGGUUAUGAAUUACAGUAGAUCAAGGGAUGGAUACCUUAGAUUCUGAGAAGAUGAUGAAGAGAAUUAUUCUGGAAUCUGGAUCGAAGUAGAACUAAAGUGAAUGCAGAUAAUUUGGAGAAGGAUUCCAGUAAAUGCGAAGAUCACGAGGAAAAGAGAUACGAUAAUGAUUCUUUGCAAGUCUCUGCAUUUCCAAGUGCUUCCAAUUUAGACAAGCCAUACGUGAUGCCCCUGCUACCCAUUCCAAAUGUGGAAAGAUAUUAUUUAAAUGCGUCACUCAUCUUGACAGGAACCGCCUGUAAAGGGGGAACUGGACCACCUGUAGGAGCUGUAGAUAUCGGUGUUAGCAAAUCUGCAUUCUAUUUUCGCAUUGCUGUGCCUGGAGUUAAGAAAGAUCCUGGUAAUCCCUCUUCAUAUUUUCUUGCCUCUCCUUGAGCACGGUCCAAGUACUUUAGAUAGAUAUCUCCACGUGCCAUUCAAUGGUUUGCAAAUUACCUGACAACAUGGAGACCAGAAAAUUUUUGCAUUAUUACACAGAAUGAACAACUCAUGGAAAUUUCUGGGAGAGAAUUGACCAUUCCAAGUGACAGAAAUUCUGUUCAAGACCACAAGAUAUCUUUUUCUCUCAAAAUUCAUUUAUCUGGCUAACGAACUUUCGAGUUUUAGGAUGAGGAAGGUCGGUUUGGCUGUGAGAUUGAACGGGAUGGAAGAGUUAGCAUCAGAGGCGUGACAUCCACUGGUGUGAAAACUGUAUCAAAAUAUUCUCGAGUUUUUGAACUGAAAUUUCAGCAACAGUGCCCACCGGGACCCUUCACGCUUUACUUCAGUCUUCCGGGGCCAGUUGAUCCAAGUUUGUUUUCACCGUAUUUCAGAUCUGAUGGCAUCUUCGAAGCAGUUGUUGCAAAAUAUUAGUUACUUGUUUUGAGAUCUA